rnacentral:rRNA from 1 species
UACGGGGGGGGCAAGCGUUGUUCGGAAUUACUGGGCGUAAAGGGCUCGUAGGUGGCCAACUAAGUCAGACGUGAAAUCCCUCGGCUUAACCGGGGAACUGCAUCUGAUACUGGAUGGCUUGAGUUUGGGAGAGGGACGCGGAAUUCCAGGUGUAGCGGUGAAAUGCGUAGAUAUCAGGAGGAACACCGGUGGCGAAGGCGGGUCUCUGGACCAUUACUGACGCUGAUGCACGAAAGCUAGGGGAGCAAACAGG